rnacentral:sRNA from 1 species
AUUUUAUUUCAUUUGAGAUUUCAGACUUUGUCGCUUGUUCUUUCUGUAGAAGAUUUUUCAUAGAAGUAUGUUGUUUCAAAAGCAACCUUCAAAUAGUAGACUUAGCUUGGAUGAGAAUCUAAAAGUCUUUGAGUCCAACAACCAAGCAGGUCCCCUGUCCAGGAAGUGCCUUAUAGCUGAUGUUUGAGUAUCCCUGCAGAUGGGAACUCACUACCUCCUGAAGCACCUUACUUCACCCUUGGAAUAGUAACAGAGAUUAAAAUGUCCUUCCUUAAUUUGAGGUGAAAUCUGCCUUCUUGUCCAUUUUACACACACUAACCUUCCUUCCACCAUGCAAGCUGAGAGAGAGCCAGGUUGAGCCUGUGUCUCCACAACAACUCUUCUCAGACCUCCUGCUGCCACCUACCAUGCACUUGCUCUUCACUGGCUAGGUUCCAGUUGCUCUGUACCUUUCCUAAAGUGUGGUGACCAGAAUUUGGCACAGUGAGGGAAGGUUCCAGAGCCCUUUAGUGUUAUCGGGGGCACAGAGCUUGGGCUUUGGAGUCGCUCAGAUCUUGAGUUGAUAUGCACUUCUUUGUCCCUGAGCAAAUGAUUGAACCUUCUUGGACUCUCAGUUCCUCAUUAAUGAAAUGAAGAUGAAACAAGAUGAGAUGGACUGUGCACAUUUCCUGAUGGGGGCUGGUAUGUGCUGGUGCCCAGUGCAAAGUGGCUGCUGGCAGAAUGGUGAGUCACCAGUACCUGCUCCCUUCACUGAGUGCUUCCUGUGUGCCUGGCACCAUUGCUCAGGGCUUUACAUGGACUUACUCAUUUCAUUUUCACUGCAGCCUAGAGCGUAAGGAGAGUCCCGUAUUCUCAGAGUAAAAGUUGUUUCUGGAAUUGAUCUCGCCA